ACUUCAUUAGAUGACUGAAAAG
rnacentral:tRNA from 8 species